CCUACGGUAGGCAGCAGUGAGGAAUAUUGGUCAAUGGCCGGAAGGCUGAACCAGCCAUGUCGCGUGAAGGUCAGUGCCCUAUGGGCGUUAAACCUCCUUUGUUCGGGAGCAAUAAUGGUCACGUUUGGCCAGACUAGAGUACCGUACGAAUAAGCAUCGGCUAACUCCGUGCCAGCAGCCGCGGUAAUACGGGGGAUGCAAGCGUUAUCCGGAUUUAUUGGGUUUAAAGGGUGCGUAGGCUGUGAGGUAAGUCAGCGGUGAAAUGCCCCCGCUCAACGGGGUGAAGUGCCAUUGAUACUGCCUUGCUGGAAUGCGGAUGCCGUGGGAGGAAUGUGUGGUGUAGCGGUGAAAUGCAUAGAUAUCACACAGAACACCGAUUGCGAAGGCAUCUCACGAAUCCGCGAUUGACGCUGAUGCACGAAAGCGUGGGUAUCAAACAGGAUUAGAUACCCCGGUAGUC
rnacentral:rRNA from 1 species